UUUAAGAGGUCGUUUCAUUGCUGGUUAAAAAAGGAGUUGCUGCUGUUAGGAGGGUUUUUUUUUUCGAUGGGUGGUUUCCCCUCUCUGCAUCUUUAGUUAUUUCUCUUAUGAAAAGAAAAAAAUCAAACAACCCUUUAAUCUCAGGAAAAUUCACACCCUGUUGGAACUUUUUUAACUCAAAUGGUCCUUAAUGUUAUGGAGUUGGACUUGUUAUCAUCAAUGAAAACCUUGAUCAAAAAAUAAAUAUUGUGGAGUUGAACUAAAUUCGUCUCACAAAGAAGAGUGAUGGAGAGAAUCUGAGAUGGCAAGAAUUAACUGACAUGUAUCUUUUGAGGGGGGGGGGGGGGGGGGGUAACCAGAAAGUAAUCUGAGGUUUGCAGCCAUGGCAAUGUCUUCAUUCUCUUGUUUUAUCAACAUGUCGGAGCUUCAAUUUUACUCUUGUAGCCCUUCUUUGGAAAUGGUUGUUAUCUAUUGUGUUGUAUUGAUAUCCUUAAAUAAAUAUUAGCCCAGAAAGAGAAAUGAGGUUAAUGGAGAGAAGGAUUUUCUGUUAACCCCUCUCGGUUGUGCCAAUGAUUUUCUUUGUAGCAACUAAAGCAACCACACUUGUUCAUGAAAUAGACAAACAACAUUGGUCAGCAUCUAUGACAGUUGAAACAUAUGCAUGGGUUUUCUUCGAUCUACGGCUUAAACUGUAGAUCUCACUGUAUGUGCAUCUUUUUCCUCCUUUCUGAGUAAAUGUGCAAAAGAGGCUGUGAUAUUGAUAGUGUUUUACUUUCUGGGCUAACAAAAUCCAGCAUUUUGGACAGUCCGACCCGUAUCUUGGUGUGGCAUAUCCCAGGAUGGCCUGCAACUGAGGCCCCCUCUUUUGCAUGCAACUGGUGAUUUUGCAGCCAUGGGGCGGUUGACUUCUCUUUCUCCGAGCAAAAUGCAGUAUCUGAGCCUCAAAUUUCAUAAUCAAAUUGGGGACCUCUCGUGCUUUGAAAUACAUCAAGGGGGCAUCUGUCCAUGAAAAUUGUAACCUUAGGUUUGUAGCCAUGGCGAUGUAUUCAUUCUCUCGUCUUGUUUUCCUCGACAAAUCUGAGCCUCAAAUUUUCUCUUAGGUUGUCUUUAGCAUGCAGAAACAACUGAGCCUCAAUCCCAAGAAGUAAUUAGGCUUCAGCUGGUAUCAAUGCUCACUGUCCAUGUAAUGUACGAUAUUUGGGACCCUAAUGGAUCCGGGAAUGUGAAUCAAUCACGCAACACAACCUUCUGAUAUGGAGUCAGACGCGCUACCAUUACGCCAUGGAUCCUUACAGUGUUUUUGUAUGAUCAAAAGUAUUUUUUUCUGGAUGAAAUGUGUAUUUAGUUAGCAAAAGCCCGUGUGCAUCUUUUUCCUUCCUUCUGAGUAAUUGUGCAAAAGAGGCUGUGAUGAUGAUAAUGUUCUACUUUCUGGUCUAACAAAAUCAGGCUUUGAGGACAGUCCGACCCGUAUCUUGGCGUGGCAUAUCCCAGAAUGGCCUGCAACUGAGGCCCCCUCUUUUGCAUGCAACCGGUGAUUUUGCAGCCAUGGCGCAGUUGCCUUCUCUUUGUCUGAGAAAAAUGCAGUAUCUGAGCCUCAAUUUCUGGAAACAAACUUGGGAUUUAUUUUUUCUUGAAAUCUAUUAACAUUGGCUCCAGAUUCUAGCUCAAGUCAAGCCACAUAUCAAAAGAAUGAGCUAUCACAGAAAGAUGCUAUUUUUUCUUCUCAGGUAAGCCCAUGAUUUCAAACCAAAAGCACUUGGUUGUUUCAGCGAAUGUUGUUGAUAGAUAGACAUUGUAGAAACUAUGAGGCUGUGAUGAUGGUGUUUCCCUUCUUUCUCUGAGCAAACAAAGAAAAAUACAGGUAACUGUUCUUGGCGAGAAACCUAGAUGGCUAGUGAUUUUAUAUCAUGCAACCCAUCACAUAAUCCAAAUGGCCCUCUGGAUGUCCUAAAUGAAUGCGCCCCAUCACCCUGCAAAUAUAUGGACCAGAAUAGCACUUCACCGUCUGCAAACCUAUAUUUCGGUGAGGCUUUACAAAUUCGCCAAUCAUCUAGCAUAAACAAUGUAUUCCAAGAUUCAUUGACACCAUAGUUUCAAUACCCAUAACAUAAAAUUUGUGUUUACUCUGAUGAGCAUCAGUAGAAUAAGCACAAAGCCUUCCAUCCAAUAUGGAAAUGCCAAUAGUGAUGUUACCCUUCAAGCGUAAUAUUUGCUCUGGCAACAGUAUCUCUCUGUACAUUUCAUUUGAAAUACUAAAUGAUACCAGAGAAUAAGUUCUUGAAACCUCAGAAUAAUUCCCAGACAUACAGAUCCAAUGAUAUGCAUCAUUUACAUAUGCCAAAGUGGAACCCAUACCAGACAGCUGAAUGUGUUUUUGUAGCCGUGGUGAUGUCUUCAUUCUCGUCAUGUUUUCAACUCAGCAGAUCUGAGCCUGAAGUUCUCUUGAGAUGUCAUUGGCCUGAUGGAAAAUAUUUUCCAUGAUGAUAUCUGUAUUUGGUUACUGAUGUAUCCCUCUUAAGACGAGAAAAGUUGGGAAAUAUUCAGGUGAGAACAAAGAAUUUUCUAGAAAGAAGUCAGCCCAGAAAGAGAAUUGAGGGUAACAGAGAGAAGGAAAUUUCUUCUAAGGGUUGUUGGCCCUCUCUGUUUGUCCCAGUGAUCUCUUUGGCUACUAAACCAGAAACAGCCAUUGUUCAUGAAAUACUCAGAAAGGUCAUUCUGAUCAUAGAAAGAAGCCACUAAUCCUCAUCUGUUCUCAAUCCACAGCUUCAGCAUUCAUACACUUGUGUCUAUAUGUUCGGCACAUUUCUUUUUCCUCUUUUUGAGUAAUAGAGGCAGUGAUGAUGUUUCAAUGGGCUGGAAAAAUUGGGUAUUGAGAGUCAACUCGUAUCUUGACUUGGCAAAUCGACUGGUGAUAUUGCUGCCAUGGCGUCUUUGCCUGAUCAAAAUGCAUAUCUGAGCCUCAGAAUUCUGGGAAUCAAACCCGCUCCUCUUGUUCUUUGAAGUGUGUUUGUGUUUGGUCCAAAUUCUAGCUCAAACUUCAGGCCCAAAGAAUGAGGUGUCAGAGAAGAUGGGAACUUUUUCUUCUCUGGUAAGCCCAUGAUUUCAAAACCUAUAGCACUUUGCUUUCUCAUUGACAGUGUUUGGUAGAUAUAUAGAUAUAAUUUUGCUUUCCCUGCACGUGUUUGGAAAUGCUAUUGGAAGGGAUUGAACAUUCAACCUUGUGGUUAAUAGCUGCAUGCUCUAACCAACUGAGCUACGCCAUGCAAACCCAUAUCGGAUGAGAAAAGGUAUAGUGGAGAAAAUGAUAAAUAAAUAUGAGAGGGCUAGGAUGAUGUUCUUCUUAGCCAAUCCAAUGAUGCAUCAGAUAAUUUGAGCCGUAGCUUGGCAAAGUCUCCUGGUUAGUGUUUAUGGGAACAUGCUAAAGGUUUUCAGCCAUCACAGCGAGUAUGUGUGUCUAUACGUAUAGUGUCUGUUUUGGUCUCAAUCUCACUGUUACUACUAUCUUUUGCUCUGAACUCUCAUCGCCACUUAUUUUAUUAUAUAAAUUUCAGUUUUUUUCCAUGUCAGUGGAUGGAGCCUCGGCACAGUAUAAAUAAUGAGGCCAACGGAGAGAAAAGGGGAUUUCUUGGAGGGUGGUUGCCUUCUCUGCUUGGCCUAUGAUUUCUCCAUCUUCCAAACCAACAACCCUCUUCAGAAGAAGAAAGCAAGCAAUUACCUUUGGUGAUUCUGAUCACAGUCGCUGCUUGGCCUAUGAUUUCUCCAUCUUCCAAACCAACAACCCUCUUCAGAAGACGAAAGCAAGCAAUUACCUUUGGUGAUUCUGAUCACAAUGUUACUUUUUUUUGUUAAAGCUAAAGGCAAUGUUUUUGGUCCAAAACAUCCUCAAAUCUGAAGAUUCCAUUUGUUUGAUGAGAAACUUUUAAAUUGUCCUAGAACUAUUGAACAGCUCCCAUUUCUCAGAAGAGGUAAUGAUGAUACUGCUAAUCCCUGCUGAAAUAUUUUGGGCGUGGAGAAAAUCUGAUUCGUAUCGUGGCACGGCAAACCCGGAUGGUUUGUGAUUGGGCCUUCUCUUUCACAUGCAACCGGUUCUUUUGCAGCCAUGGCAUUGUCAUCUUUUCUACGCCGCAUUUUACACAUAUCUGAGCCUCAAAAUCGAAACAAUUCAUCUGGUCCUUUCAGGACUCGAACCUAGGACCUCUUCAGUUGGGAACCCAUGUCAUUUUCUUCUUAAUAUCAGCUCAGUGAAGGAGGCAUCAGAGAGAAAUGAAAAAUGAUUUUGGGGAAAAAGACCCGUGUACAAUUAUCGGACAAGCGCGAAGAUCCAAAUCACCGCAUUGAGCGCAAAUCCCAAAGGGAAUGCACCAGCUGGGAAUUGAACCUAGGUCUGUACUGCAGGCAAAGCAGCAGUGAAAGCAUAGAAAAGGGACAGUCAAGCAGACUUACAGGAAUGAGAGUGUUUUAACACAAAAGUGGAGGUUCACCCAGCAUGAAAAUGAGGCCAAUGGAGAGAAAAGGAAAUUCUUGAAGGGUGGUUGCCCCUCUGUUUGGCCUAUAAUUUUUCCUUCAACCAAACUGACAACCUCUUCAGAUGUACUAGUACUGUUUUCUUGUUUUCUCUAAGCUUAACAAACAUACUCUUCAUCUUAUUUUCUACAACAACAACAUACCCAGUGUAUUCCCACAAAAUGUGGUCUGGGGAGGGUAAAGUGUACGCAAUCCACACCACUACCUCAGAUGAAGUAGAAGGUUGUUUCUGAUAGACCGCCGGCUCAGGAAAAAUGACAAAAGGGCAGCCCGGUGCACUAACCUCCCGCUAUGUGCAGGGUUCGGGGAAGGGCCCGAUCAUAAGGAUCUAUUGUACGCACUCUACUGGUUACUCCAAGGCUCCCCUUCGAAAAGAGGUUCCGUCACCGGGGAUCGAACCCGGGUCUCCUGGGUGAAAGGCAGAUAUCCUAACCGCUGGACGAUAACGGAAUGGGACUCCUUGAUCUUAUUUUCUGUUUGUUAAAAAUUGCUCGAAAUUGUCCAAGCACCUAUUUGAGGGAAAGUUUCCAUCUUUGAGAACUGAAAAGAGGCUGUGAUGAUAAUACUUAUGGCAAAAACUUGACCAUCGUUUAGCCAGAAAUGAAGAAUGAGACAUCAGAGAGAGAGAGAGAGAGAAGGGCGGUUGUCCCUCUCUGCUAUGUCCAUGAUUUCUUCUCCAUUCAUGAAAAUCAACAACCAACAACAACAACCCAGUGAUGAAAAUCAACAACCCUUUGAGAGAAAAGAGCGCUAGAAAUGAAAGAAGGGACUAUAUGAUCUUGAGCUCUUCCAUUUUCUGCUUCGGCUUCUGCUGCUACUAUAGCUGAUAUUCACAAAUAUCAACUUUGAUGUCCUUGUAAAUACAAUGUGAAAUGACACAGCAAGGUAGCCACUUUAGUAGAUGAUUUACAAGAAUGUCAUUGCAUUUAAUUUCCACGCUUGUAAUGGUGAUGAUAACUGAUGUUGAUUGAUGUGAAAAGAUGGGCUGUGAUGACAAUUUGCUUCUUCCUGGGCUAUAAUUUACCUCACUGCAUGGAGAAAACCUCACCUGUAUUUUGUCGGAGCUACCCGGUACGUCAUCCAUUUGCAAAUCGUUGUGCAGCCAUCAAUUGUGUUCCUUUCUUCUUGCAUGCUUAUAUACAGAAAAAUCUGAGCCCUAAAGUUUUACAGAAACACAAUUGGCUUUUCAGUUUUUCUUGAACACAGUUUAAGAUGCAGUUGUCCAUAAAAUUUUAGCUAAAAAAUGAGGUAAUCGGAGGAAAAAAAAAGGAUUUUCAGGGUGGUAAACCAUCUCUAGUAUGUCUAUGAAUUUCCUUUUUGCUCUAAUAAACAGCCCUUUAAGCAUAUAUACCAGGUACUUAAUAUAUAUGGUAAAGUUGCUGCCAUGUGAUACAGGAGGUAAUGGGUUCAAGCUGUGGAAACAGCGUCUUGCAGAAAUGAAGGGUAAGGCUGCGUAUAAUAGACCUUGUUGUUUGGCCAUUCUGCCCAGUAGUGGGAAAGCUCCCUGGGCUGCCCUUUUAUAUUGUCUCUUUAUGUCUCUUUAUCUAUGAUUACUUUGCUCCUUUGUGGCUGCGCUUUCAGGCAAAGCAGCAGCAAAAGCAUAGAAAAGUGGAGGUUUAGCCCAGUAUGACGAACGGAAAAGGGCCAAAUAUACCCCUGUACCAUGAAGAAUGAGGCCAUCAGAGAGAAGGGAAUUCUUGGAGGGUGGCUGCCCCUCUGCUUGGCCUAGAAUUUUCUGAUAAACAAAAUCAACAACCCUCUUCAGACGUACUAGUACCUUUUGCUGUUUCCUCUUGAGCUUUAGACCAAACAUCACUCUAAUAUUUGCUGAUCUUUGUUAAAAAUUGCUCGAUAACGUUAACUUGUGGGAAAGUUUCCAUCUUUCAAAAGAGGCUAUGAUGAAGAAGCUUAUGGCAGAACCCUCACCAUAUUUAGCCCAGAAAGGAAGAAUGAGAUAUCAGAGAGAGAUAGAAUGGGAUUUUCUGUAAUGGGUGGUUGCUCCCUCUCUUCUAUGUCCAUGAUUUCUUCUUCAUUCAAAAAAUUCCAACUCAUUUUCGCAAAUAGUCACUUUUAUGUCCCUGCAAAAUGCUAGGUAGAAAUGACACAACAAAGGUAGCUGCUUUGAAUGGGUCAUUUACAAGAAUGUUGGUUGAUCUAAAAAUGGUCUGUGAUGAUGAUUUUCUCCUUUCUGGGCUAUUAUCUACUUCAUGAGUUGAGAAAAUCCAACCUGCACCUUGGCAGGGCGACCCGGUAAAGCAUUGAUUGCAAAACGGUGUUUUACAUCCACGGCGAUGUCGCUUUCUCUUUGCAUAUAUGUAGAACAGCAAAAUCUGAGCCCUAAAGUGUACAACAACCAUUUGAUGGUCUUGAAUGGAUGGUCGUUCUCAGGAACUAAGACACCCAAUUGGGUUCUUCAGUUUUCAGAUGCAGUUCUCCAUCAAAGUUAGCUAAAAAUGAGCCAUGAGAAGAGGCAGUUAUGAUGCUUCACUUUCUGGGCUAGCUGAAUCUGGAAUUUGGACAAUUUGAUCUGUAUCUUGGCCUGGCAAAUCAGUGGAUGGUUGGCAUUUGAGAUUCUCUCUUUUGCACGCGAUCAAUGAGUUUGCAGCCAUGGCGUGGUUGCGUUAUCUUUGCCUGAUCAAGAUCAUACAACAACAACAACAACAACAAACCCAGUGUAUUCCCACUUUGUGGGGUCUGGGGGGGGUAAGAUGUACGCAGUCCAUACCUCUACCUCUGAUGAAGUAGAAAGGCUGUUUCCGAAAGACUCAAGCAUACAAUGGUACAAGCCAAUAGAACAGAUCCUGUUCAAUUAAGGUCAUCGUUAAAAUUCAUUAACGUCUGCUGCAAUUUGUUGCUCAAGCUCCAGAUCUAAGAAUGUGGUACUAGAAAAGAUGUGUACUUUUUCUUCUUCUAUAAGCCCAUGAUUUCAAUGCCAAAAGCACUUUACUUUCCCAUUGACUGUGCUAACUAGAUAGAUAUCUGCAUUUUCAUUUCCACGCAGGCCCAUGUAAAAUGGAUCUAUCGACAACGACGACAAACCCCAGGUGCAAAUAUAAUAUUUUAUUGAAAAGGCUAAAUGAACGGAUCAAACUUGUGACUUUGUGUUCGACAGUGACUCGCUCUAACGUUUGCUUCUUUCUGAGCUAUCUGCUUUACUGCAUUGGUAGUAUCAGACCUGUACCUUGGCGGGGGACCUGGCAUGGCAUCAUCCACAAAACGGUGUCUGCAGCCAUGGCAUGGUCAUCUUCUCUUUGCAUGUUCAUUAGAAAGUUAAAUUUUGAGCCCUAAAAGUUUUACGGCAAACAUUUGACGGUCUUGAAUGGAUGGCCAUUCUCGGAACCAGAAAAUGUUUGCCUCCAUACCAAACACACCCUAGGUCUCUAUAGUUAAAAUUAAUUCUAACACCAUACCCCCAUCUAUAAAGAGGCCAACAUAGAGAAAAUGUAUUUCUUAGAGGAUGGUUGUCAUCUCUGAUUGGUCUAUGACUCUCCUUCAACCGAACUAACAACCCUCUUUCCUGUGAAAAUUUUCCAAGGGAGAAGGCAAAUAUCUACUCUCGUUGAUGUGAUUCUGAUAGCAGUAGUAGUGUAGUACUACUCCCUCUGUUCCAAUUUACUUGUCUUGAAACUGUCCCAAAUUUCUAUAGAAAAGAUUCCAUCUUUUGAAAGAGGCAGUGAUGAUAUUUCUAAUCAUGACUGAGAAUCGGGGCAUUGACAAACCCCUGCUCGUGUCUUGGUGUGGCAAACGCGGAUCCUGCAACUGGUUGAUUUUGCAGCCGUGGUGUUAUUGUCUUCUCUUUGCCCCAUUUUACACAAAUCUGAGUCUCAACUGCUAAUUUGUCAUUUGGAAUCUGCAGGGCUCUAAAUCAGAACCUCGUUGGAUGGAUACACAGUUCAGUUUGGCUCAAAAGACUUGGGCUACCGGAGAAAAAUAUGGAUUUUUCCAGGAUGGUUGACCAUCUCCGGUAUGCCAAUGAUUUCUUCUUUGCUUCAACCAGCAGUUCUUUUUUGCAUUUGUAUGUGGCGGGAAGUGCACCGAUAACUGAUUUUAGGACUGUUAUUUAAGGAAUAGUCGAAGUUUAGCCCAGUAUGAAGGCUUUGCAGCUCCAAAUGGUUUGUGAUAGAGUGUUCUCUUUGACAUUUAACCGGUUCUUUUGCAGCCAUGACAUUGUCAUCUUUCUUUUCCUCAUUUUUUCCACUGGUCUGAGCCUCAACAUCUAGUCCUUCUGGAUAUUCCAGGACUCGAAUUCAGGACCUCGUUGGGUCGAUACCCAUGUCAUUUUCAUCUUGAGAGUCAUUUGGCCAUGAGAAUUAUUAAUUUUUAUUUAGAAUAAUUUUUUACUUCUUUUAAUUUUGUUAAAUAUCUGUGUUUGGUUGUAAAAUUUCCAAAUCCAACUUCUAGUUGGAUUCCAAAUUUGGAAAAGUACUCCGAACCUGUUUUCCUGCUCCAUCUUCAUGAAUUUCAACUAAGGUAUUCUUUUCUCUCCUUUGCAAAGAGUAUAACGAAACACAACUCCAUCUUCAACUCCAACUUCAUAAAUUCCAAAUAAAGUGAAACUAUUUGAAAUCUAUGGCCAAACGCCUACUUAAUAUCAUCUCAAAGAAUGAGGCUUGUCCUUGUUGUUGCUGCUGUAUCUUCUUCUGUUCCUUUGUAUUCUUAUCAAUUGAGCAGCAAGAAAUCAAUUUAAGAGCAGGGAGAAUUUAAGGAUAUGAUGAUAAUGUUGUUUUUGUGCAAUCUGGUUUGGGCAUUGAGAUGAUAUGAGGUGUAUCUUGGUGGGGUAGCCUGGAGAGGUUGCUGGCUGUAGCCAUGGCGGUUCUGAUAGACUUAAUGCCUGAUUAAAUUGAGAUCCGAGCCUUGUUAAAUUGAGAAAAAAAUCCAAAUGGUCCAUAAUGUACAUGGUCUGACUACUUUGGUCCUUGAUAUAUACUCCUUAGCACAAUGGUCCUUAUUGUUUGCAAAAAGUGAACACUUUUGUCCAUAACCCUUAGCCUAACAGAAGAUACCAAACAUCCUGUUAAGUUGAACAGACUUUUUCUCUCCUGUUCUUGCUGCUGUCAGACUGUUUUAUGAACUAAACAACAAGAAAUCAAUGUAAGAACAGGGAGAAAUUGAUGGCUUUGUUGGUAAUGCCUUUCUCUUUUUUGAGCAAUUGGGUUGGCUAUUGAGAUUGUUAGAAUCUUAUGAACAUUCUAUAGCACAUAUGUAAGUAUAGCAAGUAGCUUGAUUUACUCUGAGUAGAAUUAGGUAUUGAUUUAUACUGAUUUCCUUUCCUUUUUUGGAUAUGUAAACUUAACUAUUUAAACCCAAUAGCUGGAGGGAAUAAUCAAGUUGAGUUUUCUCUUAUUUCUCUUCCAAUUCACAGAGAUGAUAAGAGCCGUAUCUUGGCAGGGUAACGCGGGGAGGUUGCAGCCAUGGAGGUUUCUGAUUAAACCCAAUGCCUGAAAAAAUUGAAGUCUGAGUUAUGAAACAUGAUGUGCAUGUAUAUUCUCUGUAUGCUACAUACACACUCACAUGAGUACAUAUCAUGAAGAAAUGACAAAAAUGGUCCCUUGUUGAGGCAGUGAUGAUCAUUCAGUCUAUCCCCUGAGCUAGUAAUUGAGCAUAGAGAGUAGUACCCCACAUGUAUCUUGGCGCGAUGACCCAAAUACAUGUGAUUGUUACACGCAAUUGGGGCAUUUGCAGUGAACGCAUGGAUGGACUUUCUUUGCCUGAGUAUAAAUACAGAUCUGAGCCUCAAUUAUCUCUUACAGUCAGAAAACUCUAUAACACCAUCCUCUAUAACUACAUUUCACAAUAACAGUCAUGUUUUCUGUGGAACCGAUCUUUCACGUGUUGUAUUAUAUGUUCUCUAUAGCAGCCAAAAGAUAUUGGGACAAACGAUGCUGCUAUAGAGAGGUUUGAGUUGUAUCUUACUUUUGGUAUUUUGGUAUGGAGGAAACUAUUUCAGUGGACCAGUCAUUUCCACAAAUAAGAUCUUCGACAAGAGAUUCAUAAUUUUGGGAGGUCCAAAAUGAUCAUGACACUAAAAUAUGAAGCAGAAGUUGAAUCAUCAUUCCGACCCUACCCAUAUACUUUUUUUUCCUCAGAUUGUAGUCACUUUUCAGCCAUCAAAUCUAAUAAUCCGGCGUGUGAGCAUGUUUCGGCUAAGUUUCCGGUGACUUUCAUGUUCAAGAUCUACUUGUCUAUUGAUUUCGAGAUGACCCGUAUAUUUUAUACCAGUUUUCGACAAUUUUCCAGCGACACAUCGACUUUACGGCUAUAUUUACUACUUUUUGGAUUAUUUUUUCAGUUUGUUCCGUUUCAAUUGAGGUUUCCCAGAUGUCCAAAGCAGUCCUUAUCAGUUUUCUUGCAGAUAUCUUCACCAAGUUCCUGACCGAUUCUCAUAUUAGUUACAUCCAUAACAAGCUUGGUACAUAUGUCUUCUAUGCAGCAGCUUGAGGGGGAGUGCUAGAAUAUGAGUAGGAAUAGGAAUAGCAUAUAAAAUACUACUUGAAAAAGGAUUGUAAUGUAGUGUCUUAUUAGGAAAAAGAUUGGAAUGUAUUGUCUGUAAAUAGGGCCUCAAUGUAAUAAUGUAGUUACAACAAUUCAAUAAUAUUUUUCUCGUAUAUUUCUCACAAGAGCCUCCCAAAUCUCUGUUUGUGUUGAAAAAAUGAGGUUUUUUAUACUACACAACUUAUGGAGCAUAACUUAAUUCCUUCAGAACUUAUGAGCCAAAAGUUCUCUAAACCUACCAGGUGGCUUUCCAAACAGGUCCUAACUCAUUAUAGCCUCCAAUCUCCUUCUAUAAAGAGUCUUUACUCAAGAAUGAGGAUCAGUUCAUCCCAGAAGGAAGAAUGGGGUCAACAGAGAACAAAAAAAUGGAUUUCUUAGAGGGUGGUUGCCCUCUCUGAUUGGCCUAUGAUUUCUCCAUCCCACCAAACCAACAGUUCUCCGUUGCUAUGGCAGCAUUAUUACUAGUCAAUAAUACUCCCUCCAAUACAUUUAACUUGUCUUGAAAACUGUCCACAAAUUGCUAUAGAAAAGAUGGAAAAGAGGCAGUGAUGAUAUUGUUGGUGAUUUUGGGUUGAAAUUCGUGGCAUGGAGGAAACCCAACUAGUAUCUUGGCAGGGCAAAACCUGAAUCAUGCCAACUGGUUCAUUUUGCAGCCAUGUGUUGUUGUCGUCUUCUCCUUUUGUGCCAAACCCCACCCACCCACACCCCUUUUUGAGCCUCAAUUUCAGAUCUGGAUCCAGAUGCUCGUUUGAUGGAAACCCAGUUCAUCUUAGCUCAAUAGACUCAGGCAAUUGGAGAAAAGUGAGGAUUUUUUUCAUGGUGGUUGACCAUUCCGGUAUGUCAGUGAUUUGACUGAUUUAUUCUUUGCUCUAAUCAACAGCCCUUUUAGCUAGUGAUGUGAUUUCCUGGAUUUUAGGGACUUAUACUUUACAUUGCAUUGGACAUAAAAUUGUAACUUCUUUAGAAACUGAAGUUUUACCCGCACAUAACUUGUGCAGUGCUAUCAAAGGCGUGCUUAAACCCUGAAGCGAGGCUCAAAACUUGUUGAGCGCUUCGCCUCGCUUAAUGUGUGCUUCUUUGUCGUCAUAAAGGUUCUAGACAUACUUCACUUUUCCAAUGAGCCUCUUCUGAAGAGGCUACAUUUAACAAUUGGUAUUUUACUUUAUCGUAAUUCUUUUUUCAAUUUCUUUCCUCAUAUUUAUUUCAUCUAUGUUUAUAAUUAUAUAUUUUUUCUCCCUUUGCACCUUUUCUCAUUAAAGCCCACGUUUUAUUUGCACUUUGCACUUCAUUAAUGCGCACAACUUUUUUAAUUAAAGCCCAAGUUUUGAGCCUCACUUCAAUAACUUGUGCAGUGUUAUCAAAGGCACACUUAAGCCCUGAAGUGAGGCUCAAAAUAUGCGUUGUUUGAAUGCUUAGAACUGAAGUUAUGCCUUACGAUAUGCAAAUAUAAACUUAUGUCUCGCGAAAGAAUUGUUUGUUGUAGCGAGGGACAUAAAUUAAAGACCAACACAAAAUAGGGACAAAAGUAUGAAUGGCCCAUUAACAGAAGCUCAGCCCAGUAUGAAGAAUGAGGCCAACACGGAAAAAAGGAAAUUAUUUUGGAGGAUGGUUGCCCCCUCUGAUUGACCUAUGAUUUCUCUAACCAAACCAAUCAACCCUUUCCAAAAGUGGAACAAGAAACAAUAUUUGUUGCAAUCGCCUUCAAUGGUCACGGUGUAAUGCUCAUGGCAGUAAUACUAUUCAAUUUCUAAUCAUUCUGAGCUACAUUUAAUUGCACAGUUUGAACUUAUGACUAAUGGGCCAUAAGUUCUUUAAGGGUGCGGGGAGAAAGUGCAAAUGACCCUCCGAGUAGGUCUCAUUUGUUUUAUGCUUGUUCUUUUAAGCCGCUUAAAUAAAGUGCAUCCAAACAGGUUUUUAUUAAGUUUUCUUAUUUAGGUUGUUCAAACGGGCUCUUUAGGCUAACUUCCCAUUUUUGUCAGAAGAGACUGAUGAUAUUGCUAAUCCGGGCUCAUUUUUGGGACAUGGAGACUAUCUGACCCGUAUCUUAGUGUGGCAGACCCGGAUGGAUUGUAAUUGAGUCUUCUCUUUCACAUGCAACUGAUUCUUUUUGUGCCAUGGUGGUUGCUGCAUUUUCCAUGUUCUAUUAUUUCAUUUGUUCAUCUUCUUGUAUAAAAGUUAUAGUCAUAGUUUUAUUCUGAGGAUGGUUGCCUUUAUUCUAGCUUAAAGAUUAUAGUUGGCUAUAAAUCAAGAAGCUUUUGCUUUUGGGUAUGCAUCAGAUCUUUCCACUUAGUUUUGCAGGGUUCAAAAUGCUGACUUUAUGUGUAUUUACAUUUGUGUGGUUUCCAAGAACGCCAUAACUGCUUCUGGAAGCAGCAACAGAAGCACGGCUGCAUCCAUAUGAUGUUACAUUGCCACUCUGCUCGGUCUGAGCACAACUGCUAUAUACACAUCCGAUCUUUCUUUCAUGAUUCUUACGUCUAUUAUUUAGAAUCUAAGGUGCUCUUUAUCUUGAGUGGCUUGUUGUAGAUUGAAUGAAGGUUAUGGUGUCUCCAAUUUCUCAUAUUCAUUUGUCUACGUGCAAAGGUUUUGGCCUGUCCAUAGUUGAAAUCUGAUUCCAUAUAGAUGAAUUUCAAACAAAUUGGAUUCAGCAUAGAACUAUUAUUCCAUGUUGUUGAAGAGCCAAAUAUAAUUUGGUCAUGGAGAUAACCUUUCAAAGAUUUCUUGGAAUAAUUUGGUAUAAGUUGCAUCAACUAAAGAAUGACCACAUUUUCAGUGUGGUUGACUUUUUCCAUCAUGCCUAUGAUGUCUAUUUUCUUGAAUUUGAGUUAUAUGCGCUGUCAACGUGAAUAAUAUUUUACAGUAUCAGGUCACAUGUUGUGGCAGGUAGUUUGUCUUGAACAAUAUACAUUUUAAGGCGUCUUACCUAUAGAUAUCCUCUCAGCGACCUGGUAGUGUAAACUUAUUCAUACGGAUGGUAUUUCUAAAAUAAACUCAUUUUCGUUUUGCUCUAACCUCAACAGCUCUUUAUUCUUUAUGUAUAUGUUUGUGUAACCAGCCUCCAUAUAUUAAGUACUUUUUUGAUCUUUUUCUCUGACUGUUAAUACUCUUUUCUCAGAGGUUGCAAAUCAACAGUAAAACCAUGCAACAAUGUGCUGGAAAAAGGAAAAUAACACAGCCGUGAUGAUAAUUUUACUGAUCAGGUUGACUCGGGCAUUGUUGUUUUACCCCUGUAUCUUGGUGGGGCUACCCGGACUAUAUGUUUUGCAGUCGUGGCAGUGUUAAAGAACUUAAUGCCUGAGAUCAAGUGCAUAUCAUGAGCCUCAAACUUCUUAAAAUGAUCUGCAGUUUUCAUUUUCAUCUUUACUUUCGAAUUGCAGGGGACAAAAUCUUAUUCAUUCUUACUAGUAAUGGUCAAGUCUUGGACUGAAGUAUGUUUUAAUUAAUAUUAGCCUUUUUACCUCUUAAUGUCUUUGACAAAGUCUAUCCUUUUUUUCUUUCUUUCCAGCAGCUCUAUGGUUAGGUGGACUAUGUCAGAGAUGACAAUGACAGUAGAUAUUUUGGAGUUGUCGGAACAAUAUGGGCAGCCGCGUUAGGCAGUUGUUGGUGGAUAAGCCUCAAAGGCCUCGGUGUUUUGAAGAAGAAAGCAGCUCCAUCCAGAAAUGCUGCUUUUUAGUUUUGUUGUAAAUUUAAUUGGUACCUCUUACUGCUACUAGCAGGAGGUGGAGGUGGCAGGUGUCCGUGGAAUUAGUCAAGGUGCAUGCAAGUUGGCGAAAACCACACUUUUUUCUUAAGAAUUGAGUCACCUACACUUCAUUUUAAAAUUUUUUUGUCACAUAUAAUUCAAUCUCAUAACUCUCUAGGUCCAUCUAUAAAGUGUCUCCACUCUACUCAAGUACAUGAGCAUCAUUUCAGCCCAAAAUGAGGUCAACUGAGAGAAUGGAUUUUCAUGGGAGGGUGGUUGCCCUCUCUGUUUGGCCUAUGAUUUCCACCUAAAUCAACAACCCUCCCUUCCUCUCAUUUUCAAUGUACUCUACUUUGGCAUUGAUACCAACAGUAUAGUAUAGUACUACUAUUAUUAUUA